rnacentral:tRNA from 2 species
AGGUCUGUAGCUCAAUGGUCAGAGCAGCCGAUAGAGAAAAUCGUUCUCUGUUGUGCAGUUUACGGGUUCGAGUCCCGUCAGACCUU